rnacentral:piRNA from 1 species
UUCCAUGGUUGCUAGUGAGUCAGAAGAG